rnacentral:lncRNA from 1 species
UUUUUUUUUUUUUUUUUUUUGCUUUUUUAGGGCCACAACUGUGGCACAUGGAAGUUUCCAGGCUGGGGUCCAAUCAGAGCUGCAGCAGCAGCCCUAAGCCACAGCCACAUCAACAUGGGAUCCAAGACGUAUCUGUGACCUACACUAAAGCUCACAGCAAUGCCAGAUCCUUAACCCACUGAGCAAGGCCAGAGAUGGAACCUGUAUCCUAGCUGGGUUUGUAACCUGCUGAGCCACAGUGGGAACUCCCAGGAGUGUUAUAGUUUUGCAUUUUGUAUUUCAGUCUCUAAUUCAUGUUGAGUUAACUUUGGGGAAGGACAUGAGGCCUAUACCUGAAGUUACAUUUUUGUGCAUGGAUGUACAGCUGUUUCUGUACAUCUGAUCCUCCUUUGAGCACCAUUUUUGCAAACAAAACCUUCCCCUCAACCGCAUUGUGGGGUGGGAGUCCCUCAAUUUCAGUUUCUACAAGAUGACACCUCCAGUCACGCAGAUCCAGGCAGUGACAGCAGAGACCUGCAGUGCAAGCCUCCUUCCAUAUGCAAAAGCCCAACAAAUUUGCUCACAGGCGUCUUUUCCCAUGUUCAGUGAUAUUUCAGUAAAAAUAACAAGACGCAAGGAGAGGAGUUAUGCCUUUGUGUUGUUUGAAUGGUUAUGACUCACACAUAACCACUGUCCCUCCCACUUCAGGUCAAGCCCCUGAACACAUGGCCAUUAACAUUAAUGGGACACUAAGGACAGUAUAUCUUCAAGAUCAUGGCUAAUUAUUAAAUGAAACAUGAAACUGCAACGAACUGCGUACUUUUGCCAUUAACAGUCUAGUAACCCACUCAGCUCAGAUCCAUAGUAGAAAUGCCUCGGAUUUUAAAAUGUUUGCUUCUUUCACUUCUGUAGGAGACAAAAGCUCUAUCCUUUCAAACCGAAAAAUAAAAACACACACGUAAACAUUCAUACCGAGAGAAAUAAACCAAUCUGCAGGCUCACCUCAGCAGGACCCAAGUAAAAAUUAUGGAAAACACGGAAGAACUACUUAAAUUGUUCCAUUUCCAUUUUGGGAAGAAAGAACAUGAUGCAAAUAAACACGUGUUGGAAGAAAUGGGGAGAAAGGCUUUUGCUCGUAAGGAAAUUGAAAGAAGCAAUUAAUAGAAUUAAAGAAACAAUCGAUUUUAUUCAAUAGGUGGCACUUUGAUUACAGGCUAUCAGAGAUCACCAUCAAUGAAGGAAACAGUAUUUGCCUUCGGAAAGCAUGUGCCUACUUUUAAGUUUCAUUUAAUAAGACAAGGUCAGUGAACGCUUUCAGGGAAAAAACAAAAACCAAAACCAGGCUCUGAGUAGAGCAGAGGGACGAAGCCAUCUCAAAUUAUUUAGGUGAUUCAUUGUAAUUAAAAAAUGACCAAAGUAAUUAAAUCAUAAAUCUGCUAAUAACCCUCCUCAGACUAGAGUCAGAAUGGUGUGAAAAAAUAAAUAAAUAAAUAAACGACACUGAGAGUCACAGUUCCCAAGGGCUGGUCUCAGCUUGGUCCCAAAUAUGCCUGGUUCUCGGUUUCUUCCUGCAUAAAAUAGGGGAUCGGAGCAUGACUGUCAGCCUGCUUUUUUUUUUUUUUUUUUUUUAAGGCUGCAUCAGUGGCACAUGGAAGUUCCCAAGCCAGGGGUCAAAUCAGAGCUACAGCCAGAUCCGAGGUCGAGUCUGUGACCUACACCAAGGCUCAUGGCAAAGCGAGAUUCCCAACCCACUGAGCGAUCGAGGCCAGGGAUUGAACUCACAUCCUCAUGGAUACUAGUCGGCUUCACUUCUGCUGUGCCGCCACGGGAACUCCCAGCCUUCUUUCAGGUCUAAGUUAGGACGCUAAACCACUUCUCCAUACUGUGAAAGAAACACAAGCUCAAAAUAAGGAGAAAAUGAAAUCUGGAUAAGCAAGUGUCUAUAGGCCACUUGGGCAAGUGUACGAGUAUUCUUUUUAAUUAAUGCAGACUUAGAGAAAAGUUGCAAAAGUAGCAUAAGGAGUGUUCACACGCUCUUCACCUGGUUUGUCCUGAGGAUAACCUACUGAUAACCACAAGAAAGUUACCCAAACUGGGCAACCGACACUGGUACAAUACUGCUCCACUAAACUACGGCCUUUAUUCAGAUUUCACCUCCUUUUCCACUACUGCUCUUUUUUUGGUCCCAGGAUCUCACCACGCAUUUAGUUGUCAGGUCUCUGCAGUUUCUUUCAAUCUCCAACAGUUUCUCUAUCCUUCCUUGCGUUCCUUUAGCAGAAUGUCUUGAAAAGUACUGAUCUGAGGUUUGGAAGAACGAUGGCUGGCCUCACACCCCUCAGUUUGGGUAUAUUGGAUAUUUUCUUGCGCACACGUUAAGAUUCUACACUUUGGGUAAGAAUACCACAGAACGCAUGUGCCUUGCUUCGUAGAUCGCACCAGAGGUAGCUGAUGCUGAUAUGUAUUCCAUAUGUUUUUAAUGUCUUUGGGUAAAAGUAGAUAAGGUUCAUACUCCUCUAAUAAUUUCUUAAGCUUAUUAGAUGUAAGUAAAUUUGAUUAGUUUAUUCAAUUAUCAAUAGAAGAAUUAUGAAACUGCUCUACUCCUAAGUAAGAAGUGCAAAGCAUAGAUAAACCUUUUAUUUCUCCUCUAAGACAGAUGCUGAAGUAGGGAAACGAGUGAUUGGAAAUUGGAAAGAGUCAGGAGGGCUCUUUCGAACUCACAAAACUAAUAUGACAUUUCUUUGUACAGGGAGCAACUGUAUUUUCAGUUAAUAGCCUACCAAAAGCUUAGGGGAAAGACAAAAUAAAUGGCAAAAUAGAAACAUCUUAGUUAAGUAUAUUCGUGAAAGGAUACUUUUUAAAAAAUAUUCUGUUUCAGGAGUUCCCAUCGUAGCUCAGUGGUUAAUGAAUCCGACUAAGAACUAUGAGGUUGCAGGUUCAAUCCUUGGCCUCGCUCAGUGGGUUAAGGAUCUGGUGUUGCCGUGAGCUGUGGUGUAGGUUGCAGACACAGCUCAGAUCCCACAUGGCUAUGUCUUUGGCAUAGGCUGCUGGCUACAGCUCCGAUUAGACCCCUAGCCUGGGAACCUCCCUAUGCCAUGGGUGCAGCCCUAGAAAAGACAAAAAGACAAAAAAAAAAAAAUUUAAAAUAUUCUUUUUCAUAUUAUUUUCCAUUUUGGAGGGAUUCAUUCUUAGUGCUUUUUCAUUUCAGAGAUAUUGUGGUCACUGUCUUCUAUUUAUCCUUAAUUAACGCGGGUCUGUGCACAGUUAUUUUUCUAUACCCUGUGUACACACCCUCUACAAUAUGUAAGACAGCACAACUUUAUAAACCAAUACCUUGACCAACUCAUCCAAUGCAGUCAAAUUCUUUGCGUCCUUAUUUUUCUACUAGGAGGUCCCCCCUGUUAUAGAUACCCUCACCCCACUUAAUAGCUCUUCUCUCUCUAGAAUGCAGGGAUUAACCAGGAGAGCAGGACAUUACACUCCCAAUGGCCAGAUAAGAUGGAGCAUUUUCUUGCUCUAUGAAAUUCUAUUUGUGCUGUGCUGCAUCUACUGGAACAUAGUUUGACAAAAUUAGAGGUAGAUAAAUUCAUGGAGUUCCCACGGUGCUGCAAUGAGAUUGGCAGUGUCUUUGCAGCGCCAAGACACAGGUUCAAUCCCGGGCCCAGCAGAGUGGGUUAAAGGAUCUGGCAUUGCCACAGUUGUGGCACAGCCCACAGCAGCAGCUCAGAUCAGAUCCCUGGAAGUCCAUAUGCCAGAAAAGAGAAAAACGAAAGAAAGAUAAGUUCUGAAAAUGAAAGAAUGCCUGGAAAGAAGGUGGAAAAAGAAAUGGAAGAGACAGUUGAAGAAAAAAAAAUGUUCAGGUGUGGGGUUGAAGAACAGCAAAGAGAUCUGUCCCUGAAUUUAAGUAAGGCUUAGAAAUACUACAAUUCAGAAUUUAAAAAACAGACUUCAGAAAUAAAUUCAACAGUAGCUGGAAAAAAGAGAAAGAAAAUGAAAAAAAAAUUGCUGACUCUCUUCCAAGUUAAAUUAACAAUUAAAAGUAUUCAGAAAUGGAAAUAGCAAAAUUGUAGAGAAAAAUAAUUAUGAAAUUCUUAUAUCAUGAGGCAUAUUCUAUGUGUGCCUAGUUCCCUUUUAGCGACAGGUCUUUGACGAGCAAAAUUCUGAGUAACAGUAAAUAAUUUUGAAGAGGUUUAAUAGGAGAUGGAAAAAGAAAGGAAGUAUGAAACCAUUUCUAAAUAUCUGAAGCAUGGCCCCGUGGAGAAGAGUCAUUCACUGAGACUUUUGGAGGACAAAACAAAAACCAAGCAGGUGAAAAUUACAGAAAGGAAGAUAAUAGCUCCAGGUAAGAAAGAACUACCUAAAAAAAAUUAUUAUUUUUUUUAUUGUUUUUUGCUUUUCAGGGCCACACCUGCGCUAUGGAAGUUCCCAGACUAGGGGUCGAAUGGGAGCUGCAGCUGCUGGCCUACGCCACAGCCACAGCAACACAGGAUCCGGGCCACAUCUGCGACCUACACCACAGCUCACGGCUGUGCUGGAUCCUUCAUCCACUGAGCGAGGCCAGGGAUCAAACCUGCCUCCUCAUGGAUCCUAGUUGGAUUUGCUGCCAUGGAGCCACGAUGAGAACUCCCCUGAAGAAUUACUUUGCAUGCAAAUAGGUCUGGCUUUCAAAGGAGGUGGCACCCUUCCCAUCACUGGCAACUUAGAAGAAAGUGUAAUGACCUCUUAUUGUGAAUGUGGUGGAGAGGCUCCUUCAACUGCCAAGGCUGUGCUGAAUCUAAGACGUCAUAUGUGUCAAAUGGGUAUGUAAAGCAUGUUAAAGAUUUUAAAUGCCUUAAAGGGGCUCUUCUGUUUAAAAAGCCCUCAGUCCUUUAUGUUGGACACGGAUGAAUCAAGCCUUUUGCAGUAUCUGAAACUCUGACGUUUCUAUUUUGAAAUUCCAGACACUCUCUGUCCUUCUCCCCACAUUGAGACUCACUUCAAUCCUGCUGUCAGAGGAAAAAGAAAAUAGCCCUGGAUGAGGUCUUUUCUCCAAAAAAGGAGGAGGAGGGGAGAUAUUAAAUGGAUCUACACAGAAGCAAGACAUUCGUGUAGUUUCUCUAGAGGUUUUAUUUUCAUUAACUAACUUACCAAGGAAAAGGACUCCACAAAUGACCCAUGGUUAUAAAAUGCUCCUGGUGUUGGGAGGAACUAAGAAAAGGAUUAAACUUGCCCUGGGGCAUUUCCAGAAAAACCUAUCCAUACUGUGUUCCGCCAAUGACACUGGAAGCGUCAGAGGAAACGGACAUGCCCCAAACCCGAUUUUCAAUCUCUCAGUGUAUCAGCUUGCUGGCAUCAUCACGUUUUUGUAAUUAAGCGCUAUAGAUUUGCUCACACGUCAUCACAACAACAACAGCAAAAAGACAGCUGCUCUAGUGUUGGGACACCGUGUCCUCCUCUUAGCAGGACUGACUCGUGUGCCAUGAGAAGAGAACAUUCUGGUUAGCAUAAAGCAAACCACACAUUGCCCUCUGGCCUUGCUCUGCUGAGACUGGAAAGAUCUUAUCGGCCCUUUUCAGAGUGGCCAGCUCCACGGGACUUGGAGCUCUCUUCCAUUUCUGCAGCUGGUUACCUUUAUGGCAUAAUCUGAGAUUAAACAGAGGAGGAGAGACGAAAAAUAAAUGACAAGAAUUCUACUUAAAAUAUAAUAGUCCCACUAGGAGACAUGCGAUGCUUAAACCUUGAACACCAAUGGCCAUGCAGCACGCUGCUAUGGUCUGAGCGAUAAAUCAAACACACAUGGCUAUGGCCAUUAUUUAUAUACGCGAAAGGCUCCCUGGUGAAAGAUAAGAUCUACCUUUUCAUUUUCAUAGAAAUGCAAUAGGAAAAGAGUAGCCUUAAAGUUCUAGUGGGAAAAAGAAAUUAAAGAAGUGGUCGCAGAAACUUACAACAAAGUCUUACUGUCACACUCGAUUUGUGCCCCGUGAGAUGUGGACAAUGCACAGGAUUUUGGGGGGCUAAAGUUCACUAUGAAGACGUAAACAUUGUUGCUUUAUCCGGAGAAUGUCACUCCAUCACCCUUCACAGCCUCUCUUCGCAUCAGACAGUAAAGCCAUGGCACCAUCCCCCGGUAUUAACUCAGAGAGUCUUCCAGAUGGUGACCCAUAGGCGUCCCUUGUUCCUUUCAUUGACGGCUGGUGCGAUGUGUGAUGAGCAGAGGGCGCAAGGCUUCGGAACGCCCAAUGCCCUCCUCUGCCCGAUGUCAAUCAUAUUGGCUAGGUACUUCGUCCCAGGUCAUCAUUCCUCUUUGGCAUCUAGUUAGUAACAGAUCUCUGAGCCAAACAUAUACUGGUUUUCACAUGUCAAUUAAAAGACCUUCGUCCUUCAAAAAAAAGCACAUUAUAGACUUUCGGUGUCCUCACCAUCCUCACAAAUUUUCAACUGCGCCCGAGUCACCUGUCGGUGCCACUGCUCAUUUUAUACCAGAGUUGAUUUAAACAUGUUAACAGGCAGUCGAGGUUUUCUGAAGACUUUGGCUUUUUCACCGCUUUUAUGGUGAAGGACUUUUCCUGUUUUCUUUCAACCUUUAUUUUUUUAUCCUUUGCUCUUCGAUUAUCUCUAGGGCAAUAAUCAAAAUAAAAUUUUAGUCAAAAAAAAAAAAAAAAAAA